rnacentral:rRNA from 1 species
UACAGAGGGUGCGAACGUUGCUCGGAAUUACUGGGCGUAAAGCGCACGUAGGCGGAUUUGUAAGUCAGGGGUGAAAUCCCGGGGCUCAACCUCGGAACUGCCUUUGAUACUGCAAAUCUCGAGUCCGAUAGAGGUGGGUGGAAUUCCUAGUGUAGAGGUGAAAUUCGUAGAUAUCAAGAGGAACACCAGUGGCGAAGGCGAGUCCCUGGACAACACCUGACGCUGAGACGCGAAAGCGUGGGGAGCGAACAGG